rnacentral:rRNA from 1 species
CGGAGGUAUUCGGGGAGACAGGUGGUGCAUCGGUUGUCGUCAGCUCGUGUCGUGAGAUGUUGGGUUAAGUCCCGCAACGAGCGCAACCCUAUUGCUAGUUACCAUCAUUAAGUUGGGGACUCUAGCGAGACUGCCAGUGAUAAACUGGAGGAAGGUGGGGAUGACGUCAAAUCAUCAUGCCCCUUAUGACCUGGGCUACAAACGUGAUACAAUGGCUGGAACAAAGGGAUGCGAAGCAGUGAUGUGGAGCGAAACCCAUAAAAACAGUCUCAGUUCGGAUUGAAGUCUGCAACUCGACUUCAUGAAGUCGGAAUCGCUAGUAAUCGCGGAUCAGAACGCCGCGGUGAAUACGUUCUCGGGGUUU